GAAAGAAGCUGCUACAACAUUAAAUGGCUACUGGAGGUGGCAAAGUGGGUGGCGUCGACGGCCGCGUCCUCGACGUCCUUAUGAGGACAGGAGGGGUCCUUGUUUCCCCCCCUGAGUACUUCGCCGAUAGCGAGGACGACGCAAGUUCAGAGGAAGCUGCAGGGCCCAGCG
rnacentral:lncRNA from 1 species